rnacentral:rRNA from 1 species
AUUGAACGCUGGCGGCAGGCUUAACACAUGCAAGUCGAGCGAGCGGCGGACGGGUGAGUAAUGUCUGGGAAUCUGCCUGAUGGAGGGGGAUAACUACUGGAAACGGUAGCUAAUACCGCAUACCAUCAGAUGUACCCAUAUGGGAUUAGCUAGUAGGUGGGGUAAUGGCUCACCUAGGCGACGAUCCCUAGCUGGUCUGAGAGGAUGACCAGCCACACUGGGACUGAGACACGGCCCAGACUCCUACGGGAGGCAGCAGUGGGGAAUAUUGCACAAUGGGCGCAAGCCUGAUGCAGCCAUGCCGCGUGUGUGAAGAAGGCCUUCGGGUUGUAAAGUACUUUCAGGGGGGAGGCGUUACCGGCAGAAGAAGCACCGGCUAACUCCGUGCCAGCCGCCGCGGUAAUAC